rnacentral:rRNA from 1 species
AACGAACGCUGGCGGCAUGCCUAACACAUGCAAGUCGAACGAGACCUUCGGGGCUAGUGGCGCACGGGUGAGUAACGCGUGGGAACCUGCCCUUAGGUUCGGAAUAACUCCCCGAAAGGGGUGCUAAUACCGGAUAAUGUCUUCGGGCAAAAGAUUUAUCGCCUUUGGAUGGGCCCGCGUUGGAUUAGCUAGUUGGUAGGGUAAAAGCCUACCAAGGCGACGAUCAAUAGCUGGUCUGAGAGGAUGAUCAGCCACACUGGGACUGAGACACGGCCCAGACUCCUACGGGAGGCAGCAGUGGGGAAUAUUGGGCAAUGGGCGAAAGCCUGAUCCAGCAAUGCCGCGUGAAUGAUGAAGGCCUUAGGGUUGUAAAACUCUUUUACCCGGGAUGAUAAUGACAGUACCGGGAGAAUAAGCUCCGGCUAACUCCGUG